CCGGUUUGAAGGAUCAUCAAAUAUAUACAUCAGAUCUGAAAAAAGGAUCUUCAAGCAUCAAAUUAAUUAAUACUUUCGUAUGCCUCACGAUCAAAUACAUCAGAUCUGAAAAAGGAGCUGUGUGUGUAUACAUACAAAAAACAUACAUCAGAUCUAUAGCAUAUUAGCAUAUGUGACGAGGGAGGUAUACUCCACUGCUAAACUGACUAAUUCAUUAGUAAGUUGCCUUUUUCCUAAAAAAUUAAUAAAGAAUAAGUGCGAGUUACUGAGAGACAAAAAAACAGAGGAAGAGAUACAAGAUUUGGACUUAUGUCUGUAUUUGUAAUUUUCUUUACCAUGCAUCGAAUUCCGAAAGGAGCAAAGAAACUUUUGAGAGGGUAAGAUCCAAUAAAAGCCCGCCCAGUUUGGUUUCCCAUCUGCCACUCAAUCUCUCUCUUUCUCUCAUAAUUUGUUAUAUGGAUCUACUUGAAAAAGGAGUUGUGUGUAUGUAUACAUAAUACAUACAUCAAAUUCAGAUCUAAAACUUU
rnacentral:lncRNA from 1 species